UACGUAGGUGGCAAGCGUUGUCCGGAAUUAUUGGGCGUAAAGCGCGCGCAGGCGGUCCUUUAAGUCUGACGUGAAAGCCCACGGCUCAACCGUGGAGGGUCAUUGGAAACUGGGGGACUUGAGUGCAGAAGAGGAGAGUGGAAUUCCACGUGUAGCGGUGAAAUGCGUAGAGAUGUGGAGGAACACCAGUGGCGAAGGCGACUCUCUGGUCUGUAACUGACGCUGAGGCGCGAAAGCGUGGGGAGCAAACAGG
rnacentral:rRNA from 1 species